UCCCUGGUGGGCCAGUGGUUAGGACAUGACACUUUCACUGCCAUGGCCCAGGUUCAGUCCCUGGUUUGGAAA
rnacentral:tRNA from 1 species